rnacentral:rRNA from 1 species
AGUGAACGCUGGCGGUAGGCCUAACACAUGCCAGUCGAACGGCAGCACAGUAAGAGCUUGCUCUUACGGGUGGCGAGUGGCGGACGGGUGAGGAAUACAUCGGAAUCUACUUUUUCGUGGGGGAUAACGUAGGGAAACUUACGCUAAUACCGCAUACGACCUACGGGUGAAAGCAGGGGAUCUUCGGACCUUGCGCGAUUGAAUGAGCCGAUGUCGGAUUAGCUAGUUGGCGGGGUAAAGGCCCACCAAGGCGACGAUCCGUAGCUGGUCUGAGAGGAUGACCGCCCACAUGGAAAAGGAAACGCGGCCCAGCCCCCAAGGGGGGGGGCAAGGGGGAAAUGUGGGACAAGGGCCGAAGGCUGGACCAACCCAUCCCGGGGGGUGAAAAAGGGCUUUGGGUUGUAAAGCCCUUUUGUUGGGAAAAAAAAAGCAGCAGUUUAAUCCCCGGUUGUCCGGAGGGAACCAAAGAAAAAGGCCCCGGCAACCUUCGUC